GCGAGUCAUUGUAGUAAUACAAGGCAUACGGCUCAGUAACGCGUAGUCAACCUAACCUAUGGACGGGAAUAACCUCGGGAAACUGAGUAUAAUGCCCGAUAGAACAUUAUGCCUGGAAUGGUUUAUGUUCCAAAUGAUUUAUCGCCGUAGGAUGGGACUGCGGCCUAUCAGUUUGUUGGUGAGGUAAUGGCCCACCAAGACUAUUACAGGUACGGGCUCUGAGAGGAGUAGCCCGGAGAUGGGUACUGAGACACGGACCCAGGCCCUAUGGGGCGCAGCAGGCGAGAAAACUUUGCAAUGUGCGAAAGCACGACAAGGUUAAUCCGAGUGGUUUCUGCUAAAGGAACCUUUUGUUAGUCCUAGAAACACUAACGAAUAAGGGGUGGGCAAGUUCUGGUGUCAGCCGCCGCGGUAAAACCAGCACCUCAAGUGGUCAGGAUGAUUAUUGGGCCUAAAGCAUCCGUAGCCGGAUCUGUAAGUUUUCGGUUAAAUCUGUACGCUCAACGUACAGGCUGCCGGGAAUACUGCAGAUCUAGGGAGUGGGAGAGGUAGACGGUACUCGGGAGGAAGGGGUAAAAUCCUUUGAUCUCUCGAUGACCACCUGUGGCGAAGGCGGUCUACCAGAACACGUCCGACGGUGAGGGAUGAAAGCUGGGGGAGCAAACCGGAUUAGAUACCCGGGUAGUCCCAGCUGUAAACUAUGCAAACUCAGUGAUGCAUUGACUUGUGGUCAAUGCAGUGCUGCAGGGAAGCCGUUAAGUUUGCCGCCUGGGAAGUACGUACGCAAGUAUGAAACUUAAAGGAAUUGGCGGGGGAGCACCACAAGGGGUGAAGCCUGCGGUUCAAUUGGAUUCAACGCCGGA
rnacentral:rRNA from 1 species